rnacentral:rRNA from 1 species
CCUACGGGAGGCAGCAGUAGGGAAUAUUGGUAAUCUGGGAAACCGGGAACCAGCAACGCCGCGUGCGCGAUGAAGGCCUUCGGGUUGUAAAGCGCUUUUAGGAGGGAUGAGGAAGGACAGUACCUUCUGAGUAAGCCUCGGCUAACUACGUGCCAGCAGCCGCGGUAAAACGUAGGAGGCGAGCGUUAUCCGGAUUUACUGGGCGUAAAGCGCGUGUAGGCGGUCUUGUAAGUUGGAUGUGAAAGCUCCUGGCUUAACUGGGAGAGGUCGUUCAAAACUGCAAGACUUGAGAGUGGUAGAGGGAGGUGGAAUUCCGGGUGUAGUGGUGAAAUGCGUAGAUAUCCGGAGGAACACCAGUGGCGAAAGCGGCCUCCUGGACCACUUCUGACGCUCAGACGCGAAAGCUAAGGUAGCAAACGGGAUUAGAGACCCCGGUAGUCUUAGCUGUAAACGAUGUGAACUUGGCGUCGGUGGGUUUAAAUCCAUCGGUGCCGAAGCAAACGCGAUAAGUUCACCGCCUGGGGACUACGGCCGCAAGGUUAAAACUCAAAGGAAUUGACGGGGCCCCGCACAAGCAGCGGAGCGUGUGGUUUAAUUCGAUGCUACACGAAGAACCUUACCAGGGUUUGACAUGUAAGUGGUAGGAAACUGAAAAGGGACCGACCCUUCGGGGAGCUAUGAGAAGGGCGAAUUCCACACCCUUGGCCGGCCA